rnacentral:misc_RNA from 1 species
AACGCACAUUGCGCCCUUUGGUAUUCCUCAGGGCAUGCCUAUUCGAGCGUCGUUUCAACCCUCAAGCUUUGCUUGGUCAUGAGGGCUGCCUCCGGCACCCUUGAAACGCAUCGGCGGCGGCACGUGGCCCAACGCAGCAGCAAUGCAGUCCGGCGCGUGCAGCCUGCCAGAAACUGCCUCUGGCCCGCCAUUGGCAUCUCUAGCUCGACCUCGAAUUAGGUAGGGAUACCCGCUGAACUUAA